rnacentral:lncRNA from 1 species
CCAGCUCCCCUUCACCCCCCGCCCAGGUACCUGUCUGACUGCAGCAGGAGAUUCUAGCACAGAGGGUGCCAGCAAGCAGGAGUGCUCAGAGGGUUUCUCAUUUGAAAGAGGCCUCUCCCCAAGCAGCAAACUACCAGGCAGGACCAGCUACGUUGUCUGUGUGACCCAGUACAAAAUGAAAAUGCGACUCCCUGUUCAAAGAGCAUUACGAAUUUCAAGUCGGCAACAGAAGAGCAGUAAAACGCAGGCACCUCAUGAAGGCUGCCCUGUCAUGAGAACCACGAAGGAGGAAAUGAGCAAUGGGAAGGAGCCAGGCCCCUGGGGGUGGUCCAUGUCCCCUUGUUGUCCCUCCUGCCAAGGCACUGCACAAGAUGUUCUUAGAGAGGAGGAGAUGUGAGUAGCAAACUGUAGGGUGUGGAAGCUCAGCCCGCCAAGGCAUCCCAGAACUGUGCCCUGAAGGCCAGGAGACCAGGCAUCCACCGACCAUCCCCCGGUGGUUAAGGGCUGCCCCUGCAGUGGGUGGAAAAGCCUCCCAUGGCACCAGAGAAGCCUCAAGGCCUGAAGCUGAAAGGCUCUAGGUGUGGGAAAGAUGCUGCCUGGGGUAAGCAUGAGUCCCACGGAGCAGGAGCCACCUGCCACAGGGCAGCUGAACACUGAGCCAAGGGAACAUGGCCAGGGGCGCCUAAGACAUCUGCACAGGGGCCACCAGACUUCCCGAGGAACCAGCCUCCCAGUGCAGCAUGGGGUGGGGUCUGCAAGGUCUGUGAACAAAAUAACAUUUGUGGUGCUCUGUGAAUUAACGUGCCCUUCCUUUCCUCACUGACUGCAGUUGUCCAUUAUUUGAGCUGCCCCCUUUCCCACCCACUGUGCAGUCACACCAUGGAACGACAACCAGCUUGCACAGGAAAGCAGGACAAAGGGGUGGGAUCAGUCAGCUAGUGUUUGCAGAAUGUGUCUACUGGGUAGACUGGAAAGGGGCCUGGAGAUGGGACACAAGCUCGGCCACCAUUACAGUCACAUGUUGACAUGUGCAGAUGGCAUCACAGAGAUUAGCUGUGGCGAUGCUGAAGGGCUUUGGGGCAGGGGUUAAUCCCUAGGGGCUGCCUAGAGAGGGAGGCACAAAGCUCAGGGAAAGGUUCAGAGCACAUUUCACUGCUGGCAGAAGGAUGCUGGAGACUCGUGCUGCCUCCAUCCUCAGUCGCCCGGGCAGCAGCUCGCAUCCAGGCUCCACCUGGCUGCCUGCCUGACACUGCUCUGGAUCCAGCAGGCCAGCUCAGAUCUCCUUGCCAAGUUCUUCCAUCCCCAAGGCCCUCUUUCUUGGCCACAUUUCCUCGAAACCACUUUCUAGGCCCUUGUUGCCUCCCACAUUGUUCUGAGAAAUGGGCUGGCAAACUACCCAGG